UACAGAGGGUGCGAGCGUUAAUCGGAGUGACUGGGCGUAAAGGGCGCGUAGGCGGUUUAAUAAGUGAGGUGUGAAAGACCCGGGCUUAACCUGGGAAAGUCAUCUCAAACUGUUGAGCUUGAGUGCAGUAGAGGGUAGUGGAAUUUCCGGUGUAGCGGUGAAAUGCGUAGAGAUCGGAAGGAACAUCAGUGGCGAAGGCGGCUACCUGGACUGUAACUGACGCUGAGGCGCGAAAGCGUGGGGAGCGAACAGG
rnacentral:rRNA from 1 species